AGCGAACGCUGGCGGAAUGCUUAACACAUGCAAGUCGCACGGGUGGUUUCGGCCAUUAGUGGCGGACGGGUGAGUAACGCGUAGGAACGUGUCCUGGGAUGGGGGAUAACGCUGGGAAACUGGCGCUAAUACAGCAUAUCUCCUGAGGGAGAAAGCCGCGAGGCGUCUUGGGAGCGGCCUGCGUCCGGUUAGCUUGUUGGGUAGGUAAUGGCUGACCAAGGCGAUGAUCGGUAGCUGGUCUGAGAGGAUGAUCAGCCACACUGGGACUGAGACACGGCCCAGACUCCUACGAGAGGCAGCAGUGGGGAAUAUUGGACAAUGAGCGCAAGCCUGAUCCAGGGAUUCCGCGUGGGUGAAGAAGAUCUUCGGAUUGAAAAGCCCUUUCGGCGGGGACGAUGAUGACGGUACCCGCAGAAGAAGCCCCGGCUAACUUCGUGCCAGCAGCCGCCGUAACAC
rnacentral:rRNA from 1 species